UUCCUGGUGGCUCAGACAGUAAAGUGACUGCCCGCAAUGCAGGAGACCCAGGUUCAAUCCCUGGUUGGGAAG
rnacentral:tRNA from 1 species